GACGAACGCUGGCGGCGUGCUUAACACAUGCAAGUCGAACGGAAAGGCCCUGCUUUUGUGGGGUGCUCGAGUGGCGAACGGGUGGGUAACACGUGAGUAACCUGCCCUUGACUUUGGGAUAACUUCAGGAAACUGGGGCUAAUACCGGAUAGGAGCUCCUGCUGCAUGGUGGGGGUUGGAAAGUUUCGGCGGUUGGGGAUGGACUCGCGGCUUAUCAGCUUGUUGGUGGGGUAGUGGCUUACCAAGGCUUUGACGGGUAGCCGGCCUGAGAGGGUGACCGGCCACAUUGGGACUGGGAUACGGCCCAGACUCCUACGGGAGGCAGCAGUGGGGAAUAUUGCACAAUGGGCGGAAGCCUGAUGCAGCAACGCCGCGUGCGGGAUGACGGCCUUCGGGUUGUAAACCGCUUUCGCCUGUGACGAAGCGUGAGUGACGGUAAUGGGUAAAGAAGCACCGGCUAACUACGUG
rnacentral:rRNA from 1 species